rnacentral:rRNA from 1 species
GGCGGGACACGUGGUAUCCUGUCUGAAUAUGGGGGGACCAUCCUCCAAGGCUAAAUACUCCUGACUGACCGAUAGUGAACCAGUACCGUGAGGGAAAGGCGAAAAGAACCCCGGCGAGGGGAGUGAAAAAGAACCUGAAACCGUGUACGUACAAGCAGUGGGAGCACAGGUUUACCUGUGUGACUGCGUACCUUUUGUAUAAUGGGUCAGCGACUUAUAUUCUGUAGCAAGGUUAACCGAAUAGGGGAGCCGGAGGGAAACCGAGUCUUAAUUGGGCGUUAAGUUGCAGGGUAUAGACCCGAAACCCGGUGAUCUAGCCAUGGGCAGGUUGAAGGUUGGGUAACACUAACUGGAGGACCGAACCGACUAAUGUUGAAAAAUUAGCGGAUGACCUGUGGCUGGGGGUGAAAGGCCAAUCAAACCGGGAGAUAGCUGGUUCUCCCCGAAAGCUAUUUAGGUAGCGCCUCGUGAAUUCAUCUCCGGGGGUAGAGCACUGUUUCGGCUAGGGGGCCAUCCCGGCUUACCAACCCGAUGCAAACUGCGAAUACCGGAGAAUGUUAUCACGGGAGACACACGGCGGGUGCUAACGUCCGUCGUGAAGAGGGAAACAACCCAGACCGCCAGCUAAGGUCCCAAAGUCAUGGUUAAGUGGGAAACGAUGUGGGAAGGCCCAGACAGCCAGGAUGUUGGCUUAGAAGCAGCCAUCAUUUAAAGAAAGCGUAAUAGCUCACUGGUCGAGUCGGCCUGCGCGGAAGAUGUAACGGGGCUAAACCAUGCACCGAAGCUGCGGCAGCGACGCUGAUGCGUUGUUGGGUAGGGGAGCGUUCUGUAAGCCUGCGAAGGUGGCCUGUGAGGGUUGCUGGAGGUAUCAGAAGUGCGAAUGCUGACAUAAGUAACGAUAAAGCGGGUGAAAAGCCCGCUCGCCGGAAGACCAAGGGUUCCUGUCCAACGUUAAUCGGGGCAGGGUGAGUCGACCCCUAAGGCGAGGCCGAAAGGCGUAGUCGAUGGGAAACGGGUUAAUAUUCCCGUACUUGGUGUUACUGCGAAGGGGGGACGGAGAAGGCUAUGUUGGCCGGGCGACGGUUGUCCCGGUUUAAGCGUGUAGGUGUGUGUUCCAGGUAAAUCCGGUUCACUUUAACACUGAGGCGUGAUGACGAGGCACUACGGUGCUGAAGCAACAAAUGCCCUGCUUCCAGGAAAAGCCUCUAAGCAUCAGGUAACAUCAAAUCGUACCCCAAACCGACACAGGUGGUCAGGUAGAGAAUACCAAGGCGCUUGAGAGAACUCGGGUGAAGGAACUAGGCAAAAUGGUGCCGUAACUUCGGGAGAAGGCACGCUGACACGUAGGUGAAGUGAUUUACUCAUGGAGCUGAAGUCAGUCGAAGAUACCAGCUGGCUGCAACUGUUUAUUAAAAACACAGCACUGUGCAAACACGAAAGUGGACGUAUACGGUGUGACGCCUGCCCGGUGCCGGAAGGUUAAUUGAUGGGGUCAGCGCAAGCGAAGCUCCUGAUCGAAGCCCCGGUAAACGGCGGCCGUAACUAUAACGGUCCUAAGGUAGCGAAAUUCCUUGUCGGGUAAGUUCCGACCUGCACGAAUGGCGUAAUGAUGGCCAGGCUGUCUCCACCCGAGACUCAGUGAAAUUGAACUCGCUGUGAAGAUGCAGUGUACCCGCGGCAAGACGGAAAGACCCCGUGAACCUUUACUAUAGCUUGACACUGAACAUUGAGCCUUGAUGUGUAGGAUAGGUGGGAGGCUUUGAAGUGUGGACGCCAGUCUGCAUGGAGCCGACCUUGAAAUACCACCCUUUAAUGUUUGAUGUUCUAACGUGGACCCGUGAUCCGGGUUGCGGACAGUGUCUGGUGGGUAGUUUGACUGGGGCGGUCUCCUCCUAAAGAGUAACGGAGGAGCACGAAGGUUGGCUAAUCCUGGUCGGACAUCAGGAGGUUAGUGCAAUGGCAUAAGCCAGCUUGACUGCGAGCGUGACGGCGCGAGCAGGUGCGAAAGCAGGUCAUAGUGAUCCGGUGGUUCUGAAUGGAAGGGCCAUCGCUCAACGGAUAAAAGGUACUCCGGGGAUAACAGGCUGAUACCGCCCAAGAGUUCAUAUCGACGGCGGUGUUUGGCACCUCGAUGUCGGCUCAUCACAUCCUGGGGCUGAAGUAGGUCCCAAGGGUAUGGCUGUUCGCCAUUUAAAGUGGUACGCGAGCUGGGUUUAGAACGUCGUGAGACAGUUCGGUCCCUAUCUGCCGUGGGCGCUGGAGAACUGAGGGGGGCUGCUCCUAGUACGAGAGGACCGGAGUGGACGCAUCACUGGUGUUCGGGUUGUCAUGCCAAUGGCACUGCCCGGUAGCUAAAUGCGGAAGAGAUAAGUGCUGAAAGCAUCUAAGCACGAAACUUGCCCCGAGAUGAGUUCUCCCUGAGACUUUAGGUCUCCUGAAGGAACGUUGAAGACGACGACGUUGAUAGGCCGGGUGUGUAAGCGCAGCGAUGCGUUGAGCUAACCGGUACUAAUGAACCGUGAGGCUUAACCUUACAACGCCGAAG